rnacentral:rRNA from 1 species
ACUCCUACGGGAGGCAGCAGUGAGGAAUAUUGGUCAAUGGGCGCGAGCCUGAACCAGCCAAGUCGCGUGAAGGAAGAAGGAUCUAUGGUUUGUAAACUUCUUUUACAGGGGGGUAAAGUGAGUGACGAGUCGCUCAUUGCAAGUACCCUGCGAAUAAGCAUCGGCUAACUCCGUGCCAGCAGCCGCGGUAAU